AGAACGAACGCUGGCGGCAUGCCUAACACAUGCAAGUCGAACGCUCUUGGGGCUUCGGUCUCAGGGGAGUGGCGCACGGGUGAGUAGCGCGUGGGAACCUGCCCUGUUGUGGGGGAUAACCGAGGGAAACUUCGGCUAAUACCGCAUAAGCCGGUUGUCUUGAAGGAGAUGGCCGGGAAAGAUUUAUCGCGACAGGAGGGGCCCGCGUCGGAUUAGCUAGUUGGUGGGGUAACGGCCCACCAAGGCGGUGAUCCGUAGCUGGUCUGAGAGGAUGAUCAGCCACACUGGGACUGAGACACGGCCCAGACUCCUACGGGAGGCAGCAGUGGGGAAUAUUGGACAAUGGGCGCAAGCCUGAUCCAGCAAUGCCGCGUGAGUGAUGAAGGCCUUAGGGUUGUAAAGCUCUUUCGCCCGCGACGAUGAUGACGGUAGCGGGAGAAGAAGCCCGGCUACUCGCGCCAGCAGCCGC
rnacentral:rRNA from 1 species